UUAGAAUAAUUAUUAAUUUAUUUUUUUUUUAAGAAUUAUUUUAAUUUUUUUAGUAAUAUACUGAAUUAAUUUUUUGUUUUAAACUGAAUAGGUUUAAUUAUUUUUUUAUAAAAGUAUUAAUAGUACCUUUUGUAUCAGGGUUAUUUAAUUAAAAUAUUUAUAUUAUUUUCCCGAAAUAAAAUGAUUUAAAUUUAUUUUGUUGUUCUUGUUUUAUAAAGUUUAUAAAAUUAAUUUUGGUAAUUAAAAGUUAUUCGUUUUUUAUUAUAUCUGGUUAAUCAGGAUUUAAUUUAAUUAUAGAUUAAUUUAGUUUUAUAAUUAUAGUAUUUUUUAAUCUUAUAUAAUACUGGAUAAUCUGUAUUUUUUGUUAAAAUUUUAAUUUCUAAAAGUUUAUUUUUUUUAAAAUCUUAAUUUUAGUUCUUAAUAGAUUAACUUUUUUUGUGUAAGAUUUUGUUUUAUUUAAUUUUUUACUGAUUUAGUUUAAUUAAUAAUAAAUUAUUUAAAAUAAUGAAUAAAUUAGUAAAAUUUUAAUUUUUUUAAAAUGAACUCGACAAAUAGUAUUUCCAACUGUUUAUCAAAAACAUUUCUUUUAGGGUAUAUUAAAAGUAAUUUCUGCCCUAUGAUUAAAUUUAAAUGGCUGCAGUAUUUUGACUGUACAAAGGUAGCAUAAUAAUUAGUCUUUUAAUUGAGGACUUGUAUGAAUGAAAACAUGAGAUAAAAAUUUUAUUUUAAAUAGUUUUUGAAUUUAAUUUUUAAGUUAAAAAGCUUAAUUUUUUUAUAGGGACGAUAAGACCCUAUAGAACUUUAUUAAAAAAAAAGUAAUUUUGGGUUUAAACUUAAAUUAAUUUAAUUGGGGUGAUUAAUAAAUUUAUUUUACUUUAUUUUGUAAUUUCAUUUAUAAAUGUUUAUUUGUUCCAUUAUUGUAUGAUUAUAAGUUUAAGUUACCUUAGGGAUAACAGCGUAAUUUUAAUGGGGAGUUCAUAUCUAUAUUAAAGUUUGCGACCUCGAUGUUGAAUUAAGAUAAAAUUAAGGGGUAGAUUCUUUAAAUUUAAGUCUGUUCGACUUUUAAAUUCUUACAUGAUUUGAGUUCAAACCGGUGUAAGCCAGGUUGGUUUCUAUCUUAUAAAUUAAAUUUAUAUUAGUACGAAAGGACCAUAUAAUUCAAUAUUAAAAUUGUAAUCAA
rnacentral:rRNA from 1 species